UUGACGGGGCCCGCACAAGCGGUGGAGUAUGUGGUUUAAUUCGAUGCAACGCGAAGAACCUUACCUGGUCUUGACAUCCCGGAGACCCUUAGGAAACUAGGGGUGCUUCCAUCUGGAAGAAUCUGGAGACAGGUGCUGCAUGGCUGUCGUCAGCUCGUGUCGUGAGAUGUUGGGUUAAGUCCCGCAACGAGCGCAACCCUUGCCUUUAGUUGCCAGCAGUUCGGCUGGGCACUCUAAAGGGACUGCCGGUGUUAAACCGGAGGAAGGUGGGGAUGACGUCAAGUCCUCAUGGCCUUUAUGACCAGGGCUACACACGUACUACAAUGGCCGAUACAAAGGGCAGCGACACUGCGAGGUGAAGCCAAUCCCGUAAAAUCGGUCUCAGUCCGGAUUGGAGUCUGCAACUCGACUCCAUGAAGUUGGAAUCGCUAGUAAUCGUGGAUCAGCAUGCCACGGUGAAUACGUUCCCGGGCCUU
rnacentral:rRNA from 1 species